CUGAAACUCAAAGGAAUUAACGGGGGCCCGCACAAGCGGUGGAGUAUGUGGUUUAAUUAGAUGCAACGCGAAGAACCUUACCUGGCCUUGACAUGUCUGGAAUCCUGCAGAGAUGCGGGAGUGCCUUCGGGAAUCAGAACACAGGUGCUGCAUGGCUGUCGUCAGCUCGUGUCGUGAGAUGUUGGGUUAAGUCCCGCAACGAGCGCAACCCUUGUCCUUAGUUGCCAGCACGUAAUGGUGGGAACUCUAAGGAGACUGCCGGUGACAAACCGGAGGAAGGUGGGGAUGACGUCAAGUCCUCAUGGCCCUUACGGCCAGGGCUACACACGUACUACAAUGGUCGGUACAGAGGGUUGCAAUACCGCGAGGUGGAGCCAAUCCCAGAAAGCCGAUCCCAGUCCGGAUCGGAGUCUGCAACUCGACUCCGUGAAGUCGGAAUCGCUAGUAAUCGCGGAUCAGCUAAGCCGCGGUGAAUACGUUCCCGGGCCUUGUACACACCGCCCGUCACACC
rnacentral:rRNA from 1 species